rnacentral:lncRNA from 1 species
AAAGUCAAGGCUUUGAGCUGUCAAGUGACACACCUCAGUUACACAGUCAAACUGAGAGCAAGUUCGAACUCAGGUCUUUCAACGAAAGCCCUUUACUACCCAGCACUGCUGCCACUUGGUUUCUGCAAGUUACCUAACUAUCUACACACACCAUCAUUUUCCUUAGCUUAGACUAUACUCUACUUUGCAUGCUGACGGUCACAGUCUUUUCCUAAGCUCUGGACUUUUGCUUUCAUUCUUGAGCCUAUCCAAACCUUCCCUGUAAUAUCUAUACACAUUGUUUUACCUCUAUAGCUAGAAUAUGUUAUAUUUCAUCCUAUCAAGACAUCUUUUGUUCCCCUGCAACCCUGCAAUUCCACACCUACGUAUAUACUCAACAGGAACUUGUGCAUGUUUUCACCAAAAGGCAUGCACUGAAAUUGUCACAGCAUACUAUUCAUAAUAACUCCAAACUGGAAACUAUCCACAUGCCCAUCCAAGCAGAACAGAUCAACUGUUUUGUAUUCAUAUGUCAUAUUAUAUAACAGCAAAAAUAAAUGGUCUAAACUUAACAACACAGAUGAAUCUCACAAAUGUGAUGUUGGAGGAAAUAAGUCAAGAACAUUCUAUUUGAUUCCACUUAGAAAAAGUUCAAAAACUGGCAAAACUAAUUUACAGUAUUAAAAGUCAGGAAUGGCAGCUACUCUUGGAAGAGUAGUGAUUGGAAGGGGAUGGUGGGGGCCCCAGGGUACUGAUAAUGUUCUUAGUGUUUAGCUUAUAAAAAUUCACCAAUAUAUACAUUUAUGAUAUAUGCACUUAUAUUUAUGUAUAUUAUACUUUAAGAGGUUUUAUAAAACAACUUUGUAUCUGUUUGUUUCUGAUUACUUCAAUUUACGGAGACAAGUUUGCAAUCUGAUGCCGUUGUCUGAUGUGCUGGUUACCCACCGUUUGCCCAGAGAGAGCUUCCUAUACAUGAAAAGAGACCACUCUGAAUUGUUUAAAGUCUAAAUUGUGACAAUUGUGAAGAACACAGGGCUGCCUGCCAUAGACUGUCAGAAAUCCACUAAUGGCUGUGCUGAGUCCAUGGGCAGCUGUGGUUUGGGGCACAAAUUAACAAACACACAUUACACAGUCCGCUGAUCCAGAAAAUGUGCUGGACUGGUUUCCCACCUCUCAUAUCUCUUCUCCAUCCUCUGUAGGACCCAGAGGCCCCCCACCUAUAGGCUCAUCCCUGCUCUGGGUUCUGGGACCAAUCUUGUCCUUAGGGGGAAAUUUAAAGAGACAGAUUUGGGUAACUGAGGUGACCCGGGCUCAAGUCGGUUUAGCUCAGAUACUUGGAAUGGUAGGCCUGGAAAGGAACCUUGUGAAGAUUGCUCUUUCUAGGAUUUAUUCCUGUGUCACUGGUUUUGCAUUUUGUUUGAGAAAGAGAUACAGAGGAAGGUGAUGGGGGAAGGGCAUCAUAAUGCUGUGGAAAGACCAUGGCUUUGAAAUCAGACUGCUGGGCCCACAUACUAAUGCCGUGGUUUAAUCAGCCACGUGGCCUGGUUAUAUUCCUCCCUGAGCCUCUGUUUCCUCAUCUCUAUGGUAGGGAUAAAAGAACCAAAUUUAAAGUUGUGAACCUCAAAAACCACCUUGCUGGUCUAAGUCACUAUCAUCUCUUGUCUGUUAUUGCAAUAAUCUGCUAACAGUCCUCUCUGCUUCCUGCUUGCUCCACUGCCAUCUGUGGUCAACAUCAUAUCCAGAACAAUCCUGUUUAAAAAUGUAACUUGGAUGAUUCUUCCUUUUGCUUAAAACCUGAUCAUGCCUUUCAAUUUCUUACAGGACUCUCCAGAACUCUAAGAUGUCAGAACAAACUUUGGGACAUAGCUGGUCUUGUAGCAAAGGAUACAAAGAAUAGAUGAACUACACCUGGCUCUUCGAGUGUCUGAUAGAAGAAACACACCUUACCCACAGCCAUGUUACAUUGGCCAAAACAGGUCACGUGGCCACACUUGGGGCCAGUGAAGUAGAGAAGGAUAAUAUUUCUACAGAAAAGGGAUACCACAGGGAGGAGCAGCCAACAUUUUGAACAGAAAUAUAAUCUGCUAUAUAGGACAUUUCAUAAAGUAGGUCAAAUAUUUUUGGAAAAAAAAAAGAGGGGAGUCUAUGUAUGGUCAGUUAAGUUUAGGAACUCCUACAUAAUACCCAUCUCUAGAGCUAUGCAAUGUAAACCAGCACACCGAAGGCUCUCAGAAGUCCUGCAAUAGAAAAAUAAAAUCAAGAUUGUUUAA